rnacentral:rRNA from 1 species
AACGAGCGCUGGCGGCAGGCCUAACACAUGCAAGUCGAACGCCCUAGCAAUAGGGAGUGGCAGACGGGUGAGUAACACGUGGGAACCUUCCCUAUAGUACGGAAUAGCUCAGGGAAACUUGAAGUAAUACCGUAUACGCCCGAGAGGGGAAAGAUUUAUCGCUAUAGGAUGGGCCCGCGUCGGAUUAGCUAGUUGGUGAGGUAAUGGCUCACCAAGGCGACGAUCCGUAGCUGGUUUGAGAGAACGACCAGCCACACUGGGACUGAGACACGGCCCAGACUCCUACGGGAGGCAGCAGUGGGGAAUAUUGGACAAUGGGCGCAAGCCUGAUCCAGCCAUGCCGCGUGAGUGAUGAAGGCCUUAGGGUUGUAAAGCUCUUUUAGCAGGGAAGAUAAUGACUGUACCUGCAGAAUAAGACUCCGGCUAACUUCGUGCCAGCAGCCGCGGUAAU